GAAAAAUCCGCAACAGUGUUUUCGAUUUUUC
rfam:Photobacterium halotolerans strain MELD1 scaffold33, whole genome shotgun sequence.